UCUGCCCACUGCUCCUCACUGCCUCCUUCUCCUGUCUGCUGUGAGAGAGGGAGAUGGACCAGCAGCUGACAAGUCUCUGAAUCCUGGCUUCCUGGGCUUUGUGGCCUCGGGCAAACUACUUAAUGAUCUGGAAGUUGGAUUUCUCACCUGUAAAUGGAGAAAAUUCCUGCCCAUGGGCUGUGUUGAGGAUUAAACGCAAUAGGGAGCCUAGCCACAGGCCUGGCACACAGCAAAUACUCAACAGUGAGCAUUUAUGAUGAUGAUGAUGGCUUCUAUUACCGUAGCUCACACAUCCCUGGUCCUGCCCUCUGCAUUGGAGCUGGGCUGAUCGGCAGCUGCGGCUGGCCUGUCUUCUCCCAAAGCCUGCAGCCCUUGAGUCCAAACCCAUGGUUUCUUCCACUGCCAUCAGUUCUCCAGCCCCUUUACCCUUAGUCCCCAGGUCCCCAUUGCAGGGAGAGCCCCUGGGAAGGAGGCUAGGAGGAGUAAAGGGGCUCUGGGACAAAGGAGGAGUAAGCCAGGCUCUGGGGACAGCUUAUUCCUAAGGAAGGAGAGUUCCAGGGUCACCCUUGUGGAUAUAUGGGUUGGGGUGGGGAAUAGUGAAGUUGGCAAACACUAUUGCUUAGUUGGAAAUAAGAAACCGUAGCAAGAAGCCACAACUGACAGCUACGGUGGGAAAGGACUGUAGCGAGCUAAGCGAAGUGGGAGCAGCCAGAUUCCUUCUUCCUGAACAGUGGGAAGCAGCUGGGCCUCUUCUCCCUUCACCCUUUCCUUCUCGGGGUGCCCCCAGCUCCACCAUCUUCCAGACGCGUCUGCUCCCGAUGUUGCCAACUGCUCCCAUCUCUAUAUUGGUAGGAAUCCUCCCUGCUCUCAUAUUUUCCAAAGGCAUUGCCCUGCUGGGCAACCACCUACCCUUGAUGGUUCUCUCCUCUUGGGGGCUUCAGGGUGGUUCUGCUGGCUUCCUUCCAUGAAGCUUCCUGAGAAGGCCUCCUGGAUUUGAGCAGGAUGGUCCAGUUCUCUCUGCCACAUCCGUGAUGUCUUAUGCUAAUUCCCUUCACUUUUAUUCCUGAGGUGGUUGGAACCGAGCCAUGCUGUUGAGCCGUGCUGGUCUUCAGGGCUCUCUGGCAAGAUUGGGUCUAGCUGCUUGUGGACACCCAUGAUGCUCUGAUGAAUGGACCCAUGUAAACCCAGAGUGGUGGGUGGCUGGCAAGGGGGGGUGGGGAGCAGAGGGAGGGUGAUUCUCCUUGCGCUCUCUGAAAUUUCUGCAGAAUUUGGAAACUCUCCUCCUUUUCCAACCCCAACCCUCAAUGUUCAAUUCCUCUUUCUUCCUCUACUUUUGACAAUGACUUGGUUGCUCUCAAAAUAACAAAUGUCUUCAUGGAUGCAGGUGGCUAGAGGAGUUGUCAUUCUGCUUCUUACUCACGUGUCUCUAAAGUAUGUCCCUGAAGGUGACUCCAGAUGUUGGUGAACCAGGACACCUUCUGACAUGCACUUUGACCUAGAGGCCAGGCAAGGUCAGGACAAAGGGCAGAAUUGCCCCAGGAAGGGCUGGGUGGAGCCACAUGUUUUCAAGAUGAAGGAUCAAGCUCUAGGGAGCAGGCUUGCCCAUCGUUUGGGAAUGUCUUAGAACGGAAGUUCCAGGUUUGCAGCUGUGUCUUCAUUGGCUGGGGAACUGGGCUGGGAAGUUACAGGCCAGCCCCUUUCCAGGGAUGUCAAAGUCACAGGCUGGCUUCUGUAUGUGGUGGUGUCCAUGUUCUCCCCACACUGUGCUGCACAGAUAUACCACUGUUCCCAGGGAUGGCCACACCUCUUUAAUGAAACUGCAUUUUUUUUUUUUCAAUUGACCCGGAUAUUCAGCCAAUGGGUUUGAACACACCUGUUGGUCUGUACCAUUCCAGAAAUGUCUGAGUUUGUAAGUCUAUUUCUAAAAUCAUGGCAGCUCUGCCCCAUUUUGCCCUCAAAAGUUGUGCUGAACCAACCAGACCCACAGCCAUAGGAAGCUCCCAGAUUUGAAAUGCAACUAAAGUCUACCCAAGGAUGAAAAUGUAAGUCCAUGAACAAGAACCUCCAAUGAACUUGCAUCUUGUCUAAUGACCCAGAAAGUCUGAGCCUUUGGGGGAAGGCAGCUUGCAAUGGGGCAAGAGAGUGGAUUUCUCUGGGCUCAGACUUUCCCUGACCUGGGCUACACUCAAUGAUCCAGGUUUGAGCCAUGUCUUCGACAUAGUGUGACCCUGAAGGCUCGGAAAGACCCUGGACUGGAGUUGUCUCUGAGGAGAAGCAUAUCUGGAGGAAACAGCUGAUGCGCAUCAGCAGGAAGCAGAAUCGGAAGUGGAGCAGCCAGGACUUGAAACGACACUCACAAAUGGGAUAUAAGCAUGUGUCACAAGUGGUGGCUUCGCUCGCUGUACCAAAACACCUGCAGCCCCAGGGUAAACAGGACUGUAAAUGUCUCAUUCCACUCCUUCCUGGCCUGUAAGAAUUCCAAUGAGAAGUCUGCAGUCAGUUCUACCCAUUCCAAAGGAAGUGAUUUUCAAGUCUCAUGAUCUUAGGUCAGGUCACACUGGGCAUGAUCUAGGUGCGGGGAGGAGAAGGCUGGCAGGAGAGGAGAUCUGGACCUGCAUCUGCCUCCUGUGUUGCAGCAAGAGACAAACAGGCACAGCCCUCUGCAAACCGGGAAGGAAAGCCAGGGCAGCAGACAGAAUGCAGUCGGAAACGGACACGUCGAGGACGACGGGUUCAGAAACUUCCUGUCUCACACCAGAGUGGAAGUCCAGAAGGGCUGAAGAAGCAAUGAAGAAGGAAAGGCACUAGAGGAGUCAGGAGGAAGAGGGAGUGAUACCCAAGGAUCAGAAGCUGCGAGGGCCCCUGGAUUGGAAUCCAUGAGAGCACCUGCUAUUGUGCUACUGCAGAAACUUAUCUCAGUCGCUUCUGGACCCUUCAAAGUGGGGUGCCUUGACCAAGAUUGGAACUGCAGAAAAGACAUUGCUUUGGCCCAUGCAUCAGAAGCUAAGGAUCUCCCUGUCUUUGCUAUUGCUGCAACACCCAGCAGCUGCCACUCUACUGGAGCCAACAGCAGGAAACUCCUUUCUUUGUCCACUUCUGAACUUCCCACAGGAACUUGGGACUGCCAUUAGUGGACCUGAAAGCAAGCCAGCUGGCCGUGGACACUGAGAGCUGUAGCUGGCAGAUGUCCAGUGUGAGCGGCAGGAAAGACGGUGUUAAAUGGCUGAGAUGGUGUGGGCUGAGAACGAUGAACAAAGAAGGGACACAAAUGGCCAGAGGGAGAGCGGCCUGGAGUGCCUGUUCUCUUGCUGUAUUUGUUAGUGUCCCUUCAAUAUUUCAUAGCCAAGAAUUUCAAACAUAUACUGAAAUAGAACAAUUUAAUGAAUUCCGUCAAAUUAGAAACAACCUUAUUUCACUUAUUUGCUUUUCACCAGGCCACCCCCUUUUAUUUUGAAGCAAAUCCCAUACUUCAUAUAAUUUAAUAAUAAUUCCUCAGUAUCAUCAACAUUCAAUAAGUUUCUGAAUAUCCAACUUUCUGUUAGUGUCUCCUUAUUGUUUCAGUGGUUUGUCUGGGUUAAGAUCCAAAUAGAACCCAUGUGUUGCUACUACCUGGAAGGUCUUUGAAUUUCAGUUUUCCUUUCUAUUUUCUCCUCCAUUUCCUCUCUAUCCUCCCCAAAUUUAAAUGCUUCAACUGAGUUGCUUGUCCUGUAGAGUUUGCUGCAGUUUGGGUUUUGCUAACUGUGUCCUCGUGGUGUAGUUUAACUUGUUCCCCUGCCUUUGUAUUUUCAAGAGAUUGAUAGAUGGACAGGUAGAGAGAUGUGGGUUGAGUAGGACUUGUCUCCCCACAAUUCAGGCAGAUGCUUAAAUUCUGAUGUCCUAACGCUAGAGGCUGACGGGUUAAGGGUAGAUACUUGACAUAAUAAUGAUGUCUGAGAGUGUGUCUGGGGGAAAUCGUUAGGUUACUGGGGAUGUGCCAUUGGAGGGUGGUUCUCAUGGGAGGCUUGAUGAUUGGAGUUCAGGUUAUGCCCAGCUGUUCUCUCUGCUUCCUGGCUCGCCAUGUGGUCACUCCUUCACACCCGCCAGACACAAGCUUCCACCAGACACCAGACUUUGGGGCCACUUCAGCCUGAACUGCAACUUCCAAACUAAGCUGAAAUAAACAUUUUCUUUCCCAAGAAGCUCCUCUCAGGUAUUUUAGCUAAAGUAAUGAAAAGCAGGCUAAUGCAAGAGGUUUAUCAGAUUUAGUUGUCAUACUUUUGGUAGGAUUCUUAUAUAUUUUAAAAUUUAUUUGGAGAUUUAAAAUUUUUCUUUUGGGAGGCCAGCAUUGUGGUGUAGCGGGAAAUACCACUGCCUGAAAUGCAGGCAUCCCAUGUGGGCGCCGCUCCACUUCUGAUCCAGUUCCCUGUUAAUGCACCUGGGAAAAGCAGUGGAUGAUGGCUCUAGUGUUUGGGCCUCUACCACCCGUAUGGGAGACUCGGAUGAAGCUCCUGGCUCCUGGCUUCGGCUUGGCUCAGUCCUGGCUGCUGCGGCUCUCUGUGGGAAUGAAUGGGUGGAUGGAAGAUCUUUCUCUUUAUAUCUCCCUCUCUGUCUACAACUCUGACUCUCAAAUAAAACUUUAAAAAUC